UGGCCGCGCAGAAUUGGAGACCUUCCCAAGAAAAAAAAGGAAAAGAAAGAAAUUACUUUACCUGGACAAACAUGUCCUAAAUUAGUCACCGACGAGCACCACGGACCAAAACAAGUAGAAGACUCAUCGACGACGGAUCUCCUUAUGGACACAACCGACCAUGUAAUCGUAUUUCCAUGUAAACGGGGUGUAUCAAGUUGUCCCAUCCCAGUCAAUGGAGCCAAACCGUCGAGAUGAAAGCACCGGGGCCCUACUGGGGGUGGUAACAGACCGUCUCGGGUGAACGAGAAGGAGGCGGCGGCAGCCUGAAAGGUAUACUUCCUCACACCUUUGGUCUAUCCUGUUCAGAUCUGAAGAAUAUAGCUGAAGAUGGACCGUCUUUUAAAGAAGCGCACCACUGUCUAUGAAGUUCGCAAACUUCGGGCCAAUGAGAAUGCGUUUCGAAGAUAUGACACUAUCCACGUCUCCCUGGCAUUUAACCUUGAAAUGAACUGUCUUCAGAAGAGUGCGAGAGCUUUGAGGAGGGGAGGGGGCGAUGUCCCCAAAUGCAUGUUUGACCCCGAUAGUAGAUUUGACCUGAAGCGGGAUGUACUUGUUAACUUAUUAUUUUACAUGCUUGAGGUAGUUAUUGCUCUUUGAUGGCUUGGAUUUGACAAGCAUUUUAAUCUUUUUCCUAAUUGCAUUUUUCUUACAAAAUUCUGGACGGUACUGAUGAAAUGUAUUUUAAAAUAAUAUAAUCAAUAAGAGAAUCGCAAAGUGUUUCCCCAUUGGCAAAAUCUAUUCGAGCAAGUUCACACAAGCUUUUUAAGGGUUGUCGGAGUAAUCUGAAAAAAAAGUAAACUGGUACUCUGUUCGCCCAUAAUUUAUUCAAUGUUUAUCUAUUUCAUUUAAUUAAUUGAUUGAUUAUUAGAUCGUAAUGUCUGUACUCAUAUUGUCAAAACAACCGCUGAUUUCGAUUAUCUGCAUAAAAUUCAUUUUGUAGCCCAUCACUCAAAUACAAAAUGUUUCAAUUUAUUGAUGAUAAUCCUGUUCCAUUUUAAUAUUCAUGAUAGCAGGGUCUUUUUGUCUUGAAAAUGUUUCCAUUGAGUAUUUUCCUUCCAGUAUUUCUUCAUAAUUGGAUCUCCUAAUAACAUGUGCGCUUAGGAACCAAAAAUGAACAGCUGAACCACUGCAAUUCGUUAUA